CUCAAGCAGACAGCCCUGAAUGAGAUUCUUGGGAUAGUUACUGAAAACUGGCAACAGGAUUGAUGCUGCCGCUUCGUAGGCUGUGGUAACCACGUGACUCACCGCCACGCGUCCACGCAGAGAAGCUACCCCUGUUCAGUGCAUCCUCAGUGCAGCCCUAAGGCAGAAGUCACCAGUACCCACCUCUCUGGCCAGCCCAGUGAUGUCCCUCAGCGAUGAGACUUCAGCAAAGGUCCCCCAAGAAUGGGCUGGACUGUUGGCAAAACCUCCUCAGGAACGGCUCCUCGGUGGUGGUCCCUCAGCAGCAACCUCUCAAGAAUGGUCCCUGGCGACUGCCCCUUAGCAACAGCUCCUCACAAAUGACCCCUAGAAAGUGGUCCAGUAACUAGGUCGCCUCCCAGAAACAGAUCCUCAGCGACGGUUCCUCAGCACUGGCCCCGCAGGAUCAGUUCCUUAAGCCGCUAGACGAUGGCCUCUUAACGGCCCGACUGCCCCCCAGCCACCGUGGGUCUGAGGCUGCGUAGUUUGGGCGCGCAGCUCCAUGGCAACGGAGGGCUGCUUUGUGGUAGCGGGCGGGGCUGUGGCUUCGGAAGGAGAGUCUGUGCGCAGGCGUAGUGUUAGCAGCGGGGGUGAAGUAGGGGGAGCGUCGCGGAGGGCAGAGUCAAAGCUGACUGUUGCCCAGACGAUUCUCCUGGAGACUGGGGCAGGUGCUCGAGAACUUGUCUAAAGCCAGUUGAAACUUGGGUCAACUGCUAACUUAAAAGACCAUUUACGCAAAAGUUAGGAUAUCCUGCGUCUCUUGGAUCUGAAUUCUGGCUCUCCCAGGUCUUUGCAGCCUGUGUUGUGCCCUCUAGGUGGUGACAUCUGACUCCUCUGUAUAACUCACAGGACUCUUUGGAUUAUUUUUGGUCGUUUAAGUUGGCGUUGUCACUAGUCCGGGCAGGAGGUGGGCUCAACAGUGGACAGGACAUGUUCCCUUUCCUCAGAGUCGCAGGGAUGACUGGCAACUCCUGUAGUUUUUUUGUCUUGGAGAUGGAGAACCUUCAGCGUCAAGAAGUCCUCAAAAUAAUACAGAGCCUGUGGAAAUGUCAGUGGAGAUUGGUGGGGGGUACCUCUGCACUCCCUUCAGAUACUUUGCAAUACUGUAUAGGUGUGUGUGUGGGGGGGGCUGGGGAUUGAACCCAGGUGUUCUAUAAGUUUAGAGCUUUGUGUAUGGAAGCCGGAUGGCCUAGUAAAGCAAUUUGGGAAAGAUAGCCAGUCGGUAUGUAACCUUUAGCUGAGGGAGAAUGUGAACUGGGCCUCCUACUCUGGGUUGACCCUGGUAUAUGGCUGAGCAGAGAGGGUUGUGAAGUAACCAUAUCCAAUGCUAAUAUUUGUGGUAUGAAGUAUAAUCCCCACUAUAGUAAAAUAAGUGAAUAAAUUGGUCUUCUCUUUCA
ensembl:processed_transcript 5830444B04Rik uncharacterized LOC110293163